rnacentral:rRNA from 1 species
CCCGCUGAACUUAAGCAUAUCAAUAAGCGGAGGAAAAGAAACUAACAAGGAUUCCCCUAGUAACGGCGAGUGAAGCGGGAACAGCUCAAAUUUGAAACCUGGCGUCCUUCGGGCGUCCGGAUUGUAUUCUAGAGAAGCGUCUUCCACGCUGGUCCAUGUAUAAGUGCCCUGGAACGGGCUGUCAUAGAGGGUGAGAAUCCCGUCUUUGACACGGACUACCAGGGCUUAUGUGAUGCGCUCUCAAAGAGUCGAGUUGUUUGGGAAUGCAGCUCUAAAUGGGUGGUAAAUUCCAUCUAAAGCUAAAUAUUGGCGAGAGACCGAUAGCGAACAAGUACCGUGAGGGAAAGAUGAAAAGAACUUUGGAAAGAGAGUUAAACAGUACGUGAAAUUGUUGAAAGGGAAACGCUUGAAGUCAGUCGCGUUGGCCAGGAAUCAACCUUGCUUUUGCUUGGCGUACUUUCUGGUUAAUGGGUCAGCAUCAAUUUUGACCGGUGGAUAAAGGUCAGGGGAAUGUGGCAUCUUCGGAUGUGUUAUAGCCUCUGGUCGCAUACAUCGGUUGGGAUUGAGGAACUCAGCACGCCGCAAGGCCGGGUUUUUAACCACGUACGUGCUUAGGAUGCUGGCAUAAUGGCUUUAAUCGACCCGUCUUGAAACACGG